GUUUUAAGUUCAAUUCUGGUGCAUUCAUUCAGUUUAAUCUGUUGUUUCACAAUUUGGCUGUUAGAGUGAUUGAGUGAAAAUGCAUAAGGAACUGCACAUAUCAUAAUNUGAUAUAAGNUGAAUCUNUGCAAAAUUUUUCGUCAAACAAGUUUCAAAUCAUCAUUAAAACUUGUUGGAGCAAAGAGGAAUUGACUUUAUUUGGAUUUGUGCAUUUUCACUAGUCAACUAGUCCANUUUUCUUAAANUCUGACCAGUCCAACUCAAGUGCUGCAUAAUUGUGUUAAGUCCAGCUGAAGUGUGNUUAAAUUCUAUGAAAAUGUUGUAGCAAAAGCUGGAUUCCAUAUAAAAGAAAUAUAGCAAUCAAAAGAAAAUGAAUUGACAGUGAAGAAAAAAAGCAUUGAAUCCGUGCAACAGGCUGUUUUGGAAAGUCUGCAGAUUGUAAAAUUUAGUACUAGCUGGACUGUCUUUGAGGCAUAUUAACAAACAGUUUAUGGAAUUUGCAUUUUAUCAUUGACUGCACCUCUUUUGUUGAUUGAGUCAUUUGUUUGUGUUUUAAAUCUGUUCUAGAGCUAUUCCUAGGUUCUGUUUGUGUGCCAGCUUUUCUUGAAAGCUUUUGUUUUUU
rnacentral:lncRNA from 1 species